GAUGAACGCUAGCGGGAGGCUUAAUACAUGCAAGUCGAGCGGCAAGGUCUUCGGACCCUAGAGCGGCGCAUGGGUGAGUAACGCGUACGCAAUCUGCCCUUCAGUUAGGAAUAGCCCUGGGAAACUGGGAUUAAUACCCCAUAAUAUUAAGAAGCUGCAUGGCUUUUUAAUUAAAGUUGUGGCGCUGAAGGAUGAGCGUGCGUCUGAUUAGCUAGUUGGUAGGGUAGCGGCCUACCAAGGCGACGAUCAGUAGGGGGCGUGAGAGCGUGACCCCCCACACGGGUACUGAGACACGGACCCGACUCCUACGGGAGGCAGCAGUAAGGAAUAUUGGGCAAUGGAGGCAACUCUGACCCAGCCAUCCCGCGUGAAGGAUUAAGGCCCUAUGGGUUGUAAACUUCUUUUGCUUGGGAAGAAAUCUGGACAUUUAUGUGCAGUUGACGGUACCUUGCGAAUAAGCACCGGCUAACUCCGUGCCAGCAGCCGCCGUAAUAC
rnacentral:rRNA from 1 species